rnacentral:rRNA from 1 species
AUGAGACCGCCGGAGCGCUUCGGCGAGAUAGCCGCGACGCCCCAGCCGCCCUUGUCGACGUCGGAGCUCCGGGACUGGGGUAACCUCCCGGACUUGGUGAUCACCGAUGUCCUUGACCGUCUCUUUCCAUGCCUCCGCUCGCUCUCCGCCUUCGCCGGGACCUGCCGGCCAUGGCGGCGCUUCUUCCUCGCCACCGUCGCCCCGCGCAUCCCGCCUCUCAUGCUCAGAGCCACAAGGUACACCGACGAGUCCGCCCGCUUGAUCGGCCUCUCCCCUGCCUUGAUCGGCGACCCCGUGGCCGUGCCACUGCCCGCCUUCUCAUCCAAACUCCUCUCCACAUCCCGCGGCCACCUCAUCCUUCUCAAAAGGGGUAUCACGGAGAGCGUAGCAAGCGUCGUCGACGCCUUCACCGGCGCCGAGCGCCUCGCCGUCCCGCUGCCUGACGGCUUCGCUUACCACUACGCAUCCCUCACCCCAACCCACCUGCUGCUCUUCCACACCCGCGACCACAGAUUCGACUCACUCCGCUUCCCGACCCUAAACCCCGACCCUCAGUGGACGCCCCACCGCCUUCCCCGUGGCGCCUCCUUUCUCUCAACCGUGAUCGAAUUCCACGGCCGCGUCCUUGGCGUCACCCACCGAGCGGAGCUGCUGGAGUUUCGCCUCGAUGUCAACGCUCCACGCCAUUCAUCCCAUGCGGUCCAGUUGCUGCCCACAACCGGCCUUCCGGACCCGGACGCCGCCGCCACAUUCGACCGUUUACGGUACGGACCCCGCCUAGUAGCCGCCGGCGAACGGCUGCUCCUCCUGCUGAUUAUGACGGAUCCCCCGACCCCCCUCGAGACCCGCACGGGCAUCGGGCCAAGAGUGCAGAAGGUGAGCGUGUACGCCCUCGACAUGGCGACGAUGACGUGGGAGGAGCUGGACAACAUCGGGGAGUACAGCUUGUUCGUGGACUGCCCCGGGAGAAGUGCAAUGGCAUGCGCCGAUGCGGCACGCUGCGGGGUGGUGGCCAACCGAGUCUACUUGCUCGUGUCGUCCAUGUAUUACGACUUUGGAAGACGGCCGCCCUUCCACGCGUUCGCACCAGGGCCCGGCCGCGACAAGUGCUACGAUUCGCCAUGGUCUGCGCUCAUCUCCCAUGACCGUGACUGGCCGCCGGCACACAUAUGGGUCUACCCGAGCCUCUUCUAUCAAUCAUGCGCAUCACUAUUUAUCAAAUCAGAUGAUACCUUAAACGUUGCCACAAGAACCGACUAUUGCAAUAUACUUUGA